rnacentral:rRNA from 1 species
CACGUAGGGUGCGAGCGUUGUCCGGAAUUAUUGGGCGUAAAGAGCUCGUAGGCGGUGUGUCGCGUCGGCCGUGAAAACCUGCAGCUUAACUGUGGGCGUGCGGUCGAUACGGGCAUCACUGGAGUUCGGCAGGGGAGACUGGAAUUCCUGGUGUAGCGGUGAAAUGCGCAGAUAUCAGGAGGAACACCGGUGGCGAAGGCGGCAUUCUGGACCGACAUUGACGCUGAGGAGCGAAAGCCAGGGGAGCAAACGGG